CUGGUUGAUCCUGCCAGAGGUCACUGCUAUCGGGGUUCGAUUAAGCCAUGCGAGUCGAGAGGGUUCAGGCCCUCGGCGGACUGCUCAGUAACACGUGGAUAACCUGCCCUAAGGUGGAGCAUAACCCCGGGAAACUGGGGAUAAUACUCCAUAGGUUAGAGAUACUGGAAUGUUCUUUAAUCGAAAGUUCCGGCGCCUUAGGAUGGAUCUGCGGCCGAUUAGGUAGUUGUUGGGGUAACGGCCCAACAAGCCUGUAAUCGGUACGGGUUGUGGGAGCAAGAGCCCGGAGUUGGAAUCUGAGACACGAUUCCAGGCCCUACGGGGCGCAGCAGGCGCGAAAACUUUACAAUGCAGGAAACUGUGAUAAGGGAACCCCGAGUGCCCGUAUACGCGGGCUGUCCGGGUGUAUAAAAAGCAUCUGAAGAAAGGGCCGGGCAAGACCGGUGCCAGCCGCCGCGGUAAUACCGGCGGCUCGAGUGGUGACCACUUUUAUUGGGCUUAAAGCGUUCGUAGCUGGACUCUUAAGUCUCUUGGGAAAUCCCGCGGCUCAACCGUGGGGCGUUUAAGAGAUACUGGGAGUCUAGGAACCGGGAGAGGUAAGAGGUACUUCGGGGGUAGAAGUGAAAUUCUGUAAUCCUCGAGGGACCACCGAUGGCGAAGGCAUCUUACCAGAACGGCUUCGACAGUGAGGAACGAAAGCUGGGGGAGCGAACGGGAUUAGAUACCCCGGUAGUCCCAGCCGUAAACGAUGCGCGUUAGGUGUACUGGUGACCACGAGUCACUGGGGUGCCGAAGGGAAACCGUGAAACGUGCCGCCUGGGAAGUACGGUCGCAAGGCUGAAACUUAAAGGAAUUGGCGGGGGAGCACCAC
rnacentral:rRNA from 1 species